UGGCCGCAUGAGUCAUCACACUCAGUCAAAAAGUUAAGGUCGGUGGUCCGGACCUGUGUGUGUGUGUGACCUGAUGACCUCGUGCAAUUUGCCAACUUUAAAUAAUAGCUGAAAAUGGCUAUGAGAGUCAACACGUUGGAUGAAGAUCUCAUUGCUUGUCAAAUUUGUUUUUACGAAUUUGACGAGGUGACUAAGAAACCCAAAUUUCUCCAAUGUUUCCACACCAUUUGCCACGAGUGCUUCCAGAUUUUACGUCGCUGGGACACUAUCACGUGCCCUUUCUGUCGGACGUGCACACCCAAAAACAACAGCAAUGGAGUGGUGUGGGUUCUGCCAACAAAUCAAUACGUUCUAGAAUUGCUCAGACUGAACAGAACUGAAUCAAAAACUGUGAUGGCUUCUGUACCAAUG